CCAGAAAUGGGGGUUUCCAUCAGCUGACUCUCCCACCGUUAAAUAACCGAGAAAGACGGAUCUGAAGCCUGCCAUUCUGAGUUAGCCCCCCGCUAAAUGAUCCAUGACUAUCUUUCUGGCCUUGGCCACCAAUCUCCAAAGGAAAAGCAACAAAGCAGGAUAAGUAUGGAGGAUGGUGCAGUGGUUUGAGCGUUGGACUACAGCUCUGGAGACCCGGAUUCGAAUCUCUGCUCUGCCAUUAACGCAUUACAGGCGCACCUCCGUUAGCAAAGUCGGUGUAUUCCUGGGUAUUAAACAUGACAUCAGAUGCAGAAAUAACGUGGAAACAAUAAGGAUCGGUUCCUGCAUCACAAAACAGAAGAGCGGUUGAGCAUGUCCCAGCAAACAUUUACUCUAAGUAGCAAGUCAGUGUGGCGUAGUGGUUUGAAUUUUGGACCAUGACUCUGGAGACCAUGGUUCGAAUCCCAGCUUGGCCAUGAACCUCACUGGGCAAGUCACAUUAUCCCAGCCUC